rnacentral:misc_RNA from 1 species
AAAUCAAUCCCCAUGGGUUUCGUUACCUCGUGGUGGACUUGGACUUGGGUGUCUGCCGUCUGGCUUGCCUGAAAGACGUUAGUGGGACAAGCUGCCUACGGCUCGACGUGAUAAGUUUCGUCUGGCCUGGCUCCUUAUGCCCGCUCAUAACCCGCCCCUCGGGCGACGCUUUAU